GCCUGGCUGCCCGCGCCCAAACCCGCACUUCCCCAAGUCCGCAAAGGUCAGCAAGGGGCAGAGCGCGCUCUGAAGACACCGCUGGCCAGUAUCCGGCCGCCCGCGCCAGGAAGGACCCCCAGAAGCAAGCAGGAGGAGGAAAGGGAAGUCUGGGGCUCGCCUAAGACCCCCCCCCUUUCCUGCUGCCGGGGUAACUACCUAACGGAGGCGGGAGGUGAAGGAUGGAAUUGGGGCUUGCGGUGCAGCGCAAAUGCUAAGCACAGGACUCGGUAACACAUGUCGCCUGUGUCAGUAAAAGUACCACCCACCGCCUAGUCGUUUAAGCCACAAAACAGGAGUUAGCCGACUUGCUCCCUGACCCACCUUCCACAUCCAACCUAGAGAGCCCGUGGACCCUAACCUUAAAGACCUCUCAUCUUCAUCCACUGCCGUGCCGAAGCCCAGGUCAUCAGCAACUGCGCCUCCGCUCCAGCAACCCUUUCAGUCUGGCUUUUUUAAAGAUUUUAUUUUUAAGUCAUCUCUACACCCAACAUAGGGCUCGCGCUUGCAGCCCCAGACCAAGAGUCCCAUGCUCCACCCACUGAGCAAGCCAGCCGCCCCUCUCAACCUGGCCUUUCUGAUUCCACCUGUGCACAUGUCCCCACGGUCCAGUCAGAAUGAUCUUCUGGAAACAGAAUGAUCAGACCGCUCCCCUGACAAGCUUCCCAUGACCCCUGGGCAAAUAUACAAACUCCCGACAAUGCCACCGAGUCUGUCUAGGCCCCACCUGCAGCCCCAGCCUCUCUCUUCUCUAUGCUUUCACCAUGGUGACCUCUUCACGCCCAUUAACACCCCAUGUUCUCCCAUCUCAAGUUUCUCCUGGGCCUGGAACAUUCCCCUGGCUUGGCCUAUCUAACUAAUUCUUUAGAUUAUGGCUUAAUGGUCACUUCCUGGGGGAAGGCUCCUUGCCUGAUUCCAGCAAUAAAUCCCCUUGCUAUGUGAUCUGUAUAUCUGAGUUGCCUUUCGAUGAAACUCAUGAAGAUGUGUCUGUUUUGGGGGCGCCCGGGUGGCUCAGUCAGUUGAGCAUCUUCCUUCAGCUCCACACAUGAUCCGGGGUCCUGGGAUCGAGCCCCACACUGGGCUCCCACUCGGCGGGAA